rnacentral:rRNA from 1 species
AUUGAACGCUGGCGGCAUGCCUUACACAUGCAAGUCGAACGGCAGCACGGGAGCAAUCCUGGUGGCGAGUGGCGAACGGGUGAGUAAAGUAUCGGAACGUGCCCAGUCGUGGGGGAUAACGUAGCGAAAGCUACGCUAAUACCGCAUACGAUCUAUGGAUGAAAGCGGGGGACCGCAAGGCCUCGCGCGAUUGGAGCGGCCGAUAUCAGAUUAGGUAGUUGGUGGGGUAAGGGCCCACCAAGCCGACGAUCUGUAGCUGGUCUGAGAGGACGACCAGCCACACUGGGACUGAGACACGGCCCAGACUCCUACGGGAGUCAGCAGUGGGGAAUUUUGGACAAUGGGCGCAAGCCUGAUCCAGCAAUGCCGCGUGCAGGAUGAAGGCCUUCGGGUUGUAAACUGCUUUUGUAUGGAGCGAAAAGGCUCUCACUAAUACUGGGGGCUCAUGACGGUACCGUAAGAAUAAGCACCGGCUAACUACGUGCCAGCCGCCGCGGUAA